rnacentral:lncRNA from 1 species
GUGCUAGUGAAACUGCCCUCAGAGCAGAAAUAAACUGUUGGCUCUCAAGUUUUUCCAGACUAACCGGACUGGCCAAUGCCUGAGGCUCUGUGUUCAAGAUAAAAGUGCCUAAGAAAGAAAAGUGCAGGUAGGCAGUCCCCACUUCUGCAGGGCUGGUGGGCUCUGGGGAUCCUGUCUCAGCCUGCUGAACAGCCCAGAGUGGCUUUAAAAAAAAAAAAAAAGCCUGAACAACCUUUUUUUGCACAUGGGUCACAGUCAAGCUUCUUAAACUUGGAUGACAGUAAACCUAUGACUAACUGGAUAAUUAAAGCCACAAGUCUGGAGGCCUGGGCAGGGCUCUGCUCUGGAAUCUCCGGUGGCCUGUUCCAUAGGCCAGCGUCCCUUGUCCUUCCCAUAGCAGAAAUGCUUUCGUGAGUUGGAAACCCUCUGUGGUGACCUCUACAUCUUCUCAAGGAAGCUGUGGACCGUGUUUAGCCUGUGGCUCUGUGUGCCCCUUGGCUGCUGCUGCUGCUUACUCCUGAGGGUGAAGUUGCUAACAUAAGAAACGAGUAAUUUGGAUUUGCGCUUCUUGGAGAAAGAAUUGUGCCAUGAAAAAUGGAAAACUCCUGAGAAGCUGUUCCAGCGUCAGGAGAGCAGCAGACAAGCUGGACUGGGGAAGAUUCUUCCUGCAAGACCUGCAGAGUGUAUGACACAUAACCAGCACCCAAGAAAUGUCUACCGAGGAAUUAAUGAAUGAGCCAUCUUGUGAUCAUCUGGCAAGACAGCCCAAGAAUAAAGCCGUCACCAUGGAGACUAAGAAGAGACAGAAAGACACUGGGUCUUCAUUGUCUCGUCCAGCUGUUCAUGAGGCCUUAUCUGAAGCCCACGUGACCUCCGGACUACUCACUUACAUGAGAGAAUAAAGCUCUUUUUUGUUUAGACCAAAUAAAUACAUAAUACAAUUACAUAA